GAUGAAGAACGUAGCGAAAUGCGAUAAGUAGUGUGAAUUGCAGAAUUCAGUGAAUCAUCGAGUCUUUGAACGCACAUUGCGCCCCCUGGUAUUCCGGGGGGCAUGCCUGUCCGAGCGUCAUUGCUGCCCUCAAGCACGGCUUGUGUGUUGGGCCUCCGUCCUCCUCCCGGGGGACGGGCCCGAAAGGCAGCGGCGGCACCGCAUCCGGUCCUCGAGCGUAUGGGGCUUCGUCACCCGCUCUUGUAGGCCCGGCCGGCGCUUGCCGACACAUCAAUCUUUUUUCCAGGUUGACCUCGGAUCAGGUAGGGAUACCCGCUGAACUUAAGCAUAUCAAUAAGCGGAGGA
rnacentral:misc_RNA from 1 species